GAUGAACGCUGGCGGCGUGCCUAAUACAUGCAAGUCGAGCGAACGGACGAGGAGCUUGCUCCUUUGACGUUAGCGGCGGACGGGUGAGUAACACGUGGAUAACCUACCUAUAAGACUGGGAUAACUUCGGGAAACCGGAGCUAAUACCGGAUAAUAUAUUGAACCGCAUGGUUCAAUAGUGAAAGACGGUUUUGCUGUCACUUAUAGAUGGAUCCGCGCCGCAUUAGCUAGUUGGUAAGGUAACGGCUUACCAAGGCAACGAUGCGUAGCCGACCUGAGAGGGGGAGGGGCCACACGGGAGAGGGAAACCGGGAAGGACGCAGACGUGAGGCAGCAGAGGGGGAUGGUCGGAAAUGGGCGAAAGCCUGAAGGAGCAACGGAGCGUGAGUGAUGAAGGGCUUCGGAUAGUAAAAAUCUGUUAUUAGGGAAGAAAAAAUGUGUAAGUAACUAUGCACGUCGUGACGGUACCUAAGCAGAAAGGCAAGGAUAAAUACGUG
rnacentral:rRNA from 1 species